AUUUGAAUCAUCUUAGAAUUUUGUUAAAAUGCAGAUUCUGAUUUAGCAAGGCUUGAAAUUCUGCAUUUCUAACAAACCCCUAGGUGACACUGCU
rnacentral:pre_miRNA from 1 species